rnacentral:lncRNA from 13 species
AAAUGCCUCUGCGAGACAGAAAUGGCAGAACAAUGGAUUAUUUCAUCAUGAAGAGCCCAGAAACUGAUGCAGAGAGUCAUGUUGAGGAGACAAACUGAGGAGCAUGAAGACAUAAAGCACAUUUUUACUUCCACAAGCCUCACGAGAUCUUUCCAGCUCAAAGUUUUGGGGAUCUGCUGCCAGCUCCCUUCCUCCUCACCUAAGCUGGUUGAUUUCUCCAAGCAAGAAGCACCAUGUGGCUGAGCUGCUUGUGAAUCUUGAAGAUGAGCAGUGUCUGAAAGUUGGUGACACAUUAGCAGAGUGACACAAUGACAACUUCAUGCCUGUGCACUUCAAUAAGCUAGUUAUAAACAAGAGGGUUUCUCCUCUAAUGUUCCCAGUCCUUGCUACCACACUGGAGAGGACUGGACUAAUGAAGAUUUCCUCCUGUGAGCUCCAUGAGGCAUCUGCACUCUUCCUUCUGAACUCAUUACAGUGAACAGAACAUAGACCAGAAAAAGCAUUCUUUGCUGGCUAUAAAUCACGAGUGACACUAAGAUAUUGCUAUUAGCAGCAGAAAAAUGCUUUCCUCCCCCAACCUCAUCCAGCCCCGUGUACAUUCAACACUUUGGCAAAGGGUGAUGGGGUGUCUGGAUGGAAAAUUAAAUAGAAGUUGUGUUGUCUGAAGAUAAACUGGUACCUCCCUCGGUGUGAGUGACUUUGUCUUUUUCUGAUUUGUCUUUUAACUUAAAAAACACUGAGACUAGAGAUAAGGAUGAGUUUUAAAACCCUAGCCUUUGUCCCCUCCCAGGCUCUCCUGAACAAAUCCUGUCUCUGAAAUGAGCUGAAAAAGAUAAAUAUUCUGGCAGUAAUAUGCAAUAUUAUUUUUGGCACUCGAAGAAUCUCAAGCUAGAUAAGGGAAAACUGAAAGGAAGACAAAGCUUUGGUUUUUUCAAAUGCAAGGGACCAAAUUCUGCUCACCCACAUGAACCCAGAAUCCUUUCUUUUUUUCCAGAUUAUUGCAGUAAUUCCUGAUUUUCACCAGAGUAGCUGAUUAUGGGGCCUUAUUUAAAACCCAGCACAUUCAGAGACCCUGGUGGAAUCACACAAUAACAGAACUGAAAGACAAAGGCAUGCGAAGACAGCGCCAACUCCCCAGCUCCUGCCCAAAGGCUAAUUUGGUUUCAGACCAUGUUGGCUGUUAACAACGAUAAGAUUAACACCUGAUAUCAAGGGAAAGGCUGAACUGUCUGCCAUCUCCUUCAGCAGAACAGAACUCAUUCCAGCCCCUCCGGCAUAUUAGCAUUUGCUAGAGGAAUGGCCUCUUUCCUGGACUAGUAUAUAUUUCCCUAUAGAGCCUUUGUGCAAAGCUCAGAGCAGUGUUUCUGCUGAUACAUUUGUGAGUGUGUUGAAUAAAACAUGUGCCAUUUGACAUUGUUUGCUUGGGCUUCCAUGGAGAAUGGGAGAGGGCACCUAUUACUGUAAGGCAGAGAGCCAUGAGGGGCUGAAUUUGGCCUUUCUAGGAGCAGGAUGAAGCUCAGACAAAUGCAGGAGUGUGUCACGUUUUUGAUUCUGAGAGAGCCCUGACCAAAGGACCCAGCUUGCCCUGCAUUGAUUUAAGUGCCAGCUUUCCAUAUUGUCUUAAAACAAGGAAAAGUAAAAAGCCCAAACCUUGGCUCUCUGUACGUGCAUUACCUCGUUCCAGACAUGUAUGCUUUGGAAAUUAAAUGUGAAGGGAUUUUCAGAACAAGCUAAGUGUUUUAGAGGCAAAAUUUCUGGUGCUCAGAAAGGCUCCUGUGUCCAAAGCACAGCCUGUGCUCUGUGAAUUUCAGUGUACUUUGUCAAGGCUGGAAGUUUGAUAAGAGACUCUGGUUCUCAAGAGCUUUAGAGCAUCCUGUUCUAGGCAACAACAGUUAUUGAUGCUGCUGGUUUUAAACUAAGAAGUUGCCACAUCUCAGCUGUUCUUGGAUUUGACUGGCAUGUGAGGAAUGGUUGCAUGGAAUAGCUAGAGGCAUUACCAUGUGUUGUGUCUAUUCAAAGUUAAUAAUUUUCUAGGCAAUUAAGAACUGUUCCGUGGUACAUUUUGUAAUACAAGAUUUGUAUGAUGUGACCAGAAGGAGUGUCCUAGCAUAAGAAAUAGGAUAUUUCUAAGGGAAUUCAGAAUCUCCUUCCUAAAAGCUGUGGAAUAUCCUCGGGUCAGUUCAGUGAAGCAGCAUAUUGAGAAGGAUGUCAGCAAGAAUCAGGAAGAGCCCUAGAGGAAAUUUGCUUGCCCACCAGGAACAACACUGCCUUCCAGAUAAGCUUUCAUGAAACACUUGUUCAUUUUCAUUUCUGUCACUGUGUCUCCAGCUCUGUAAUGAAAUACCUUAUCCCUGUCAGCUGUUGUGCCAGUGACAGGAGUCAUUCUGUCCCACGUCAGUAACACCAGGGCCAGCUCUGCAGAGAGGAGCCCAGCUGGCCAGGCAGUCACAGAUGUGCCUUUGACAAGGAGCAAGCAUGGGAAGAUGACUCCAAGAUUAUCUGUAACUACUAAAGGAUACCCCCUUGACACCCAUAGAGCAGGGUCAUACCCUGUCCUGAGCUCUAAAUAGUUAAAAAGCUUUAAAAGCUGCUGGUCUUUGGUUUCAUGGAGCUCAUCAUGGCAGUAAGGCCAUCUUUAGCAGAGUGUUAAUAUUUGGGGAACCUUCAUCUCCAACCAAUUUCUGUUUCAUGGAAACAAAUUAAUUCUUGUCUUCUAUGCAGUCACAAUAGUCAAAACAUACUCUUUAUCUGCUGUGAUCACCCCUUGUUAAGCAGCUUUUCUUCCUUGCUCCCCGCCUUCUCUUGUUCUGUUUGGUACUGGACACUAAGGCCACUUUCCCUCAAUAGAGGCAUCGUGGUUUUCCACAGGAAUGUGUAUGCACAACUAAGAGCUGUUUUCCUUGCCAGCAGUGGGUGUGGAAGGUUGUAACUUUUUCCAAUGGCAAGUAAAAAACAGCGAGCUCACUGGCACAAAUCUAUCAGUGAAGCUGCACAAGUGUAUUAAACAGAGCAAACAAGAACUUGCUGUUACCCUUCAAGUAAAUAGUUUCUCCUUCUCAGUUUGCUCCAGCAUAAAAAUUCCUCUGCCCUGUAAAUGCCACUGCCAGUAUUUAUUUUUUAAGAACUUGGAUCUAUUUAUUUAUUUAUCCAUAUUUAGUUUAAAAGUCUGGGCUCAAAAUUAAACAGUCAUUCAUAAUGUCAUUAUCUGCCUUGCUCUGCAGUCAGAUACCAUGUGUGGUGUCACAGGACAAAACCUUUGGCAAGGCCUCUAGAAGAGCAAUUUAGCUCCUCAUCCAUCUUGCCUGGCAGCAUGAUUGGCUUCCAAGCUUGCACUGCUAAAUUUGUUAUUUUACUCUGACUUAUAUUAUUGAGUGUUAAAUCACUUUUUGAAGUGUUUAUUGGUAAUAGUUGAAUUCUUUCCACCCAUUUGAGCUACUUUUGAAACAUAAACAUUUCCUUGUAUAUUGGAGAUUGAUGGAAAGGUGGGGAGAGUUCCUCAGGAGGAUGGAUUGUAGAAAUGACCAGCUCAUUAAGUAGGGACAGAUUGUAGAAAUGACCAGCUCAUUAAGUAGGGACAGAAUUUACCAGGGCUGUGGACGAGAAUAUCCUCCCCCUUCCGUCAGGAUGAAACAGCAAACUCCCUCUGCCACUCCACAGCACUCACAUGAGCAGGGUUAACUUGUGUCUUGGUUCUCCCAUCAUGUCUUGGCCUGUCAGGAAGCAGAGGACCCGUUUACUGGAGCACCAAUGACUUCCUGACAGGAUCUUCAUAGAUCCUGAAUUUCUCUGAAUAGAAAGCCAGGCUGUGACCUGCAGGAUCAGGUGCUGAAGAGGUUAUUAGGCAUCCAUUUGCCCAUGCUUCCAAGUGUGAAGUGUGGUAUUCAGCCCCUGCCUGGCACCGAUGUCUCUUGGGAAGGAACCAGAAACAACUUUCUUAUACCUAUUUAGGAAAAUGGAGCAGAGGAUCAGAGAUCAGAAAUAAACAAAGAGCUUAAAAUCUAGUGUGGCAGUUGGAAGCUGAGCUGGAGAACAAGGGCCAGAGGCAGGUCAAGCUGGAGAGGAGGCAGAAUUUCAAAUAAGCCCUUUGGCAAUUGAUCUCUUGAGGACCCAGAUGUGACAGCCCAGCAGCCUGAUCCAGGCCAAUGUACUCAGUACUGCAGGUCUUCUUACCUCUUGUCCUUGCUUCAGUGAAGACCUACAAAUCAAAGUUUCUAUUUCCAUUUUAUUUUUAAUGAGGAGGUCUGUUGAGUCUCUUUCCUACAUCUGGGAGUUACUUUCCAAUCUGAUGAACACUGACUUUUAGAGAUGACACCAAGAUCACAGUAGCAAUCAAGGCUCCUUUGAUGGCAGAGCUAAAAAUACACUCCCCAGCUGACACAAGCCUUCAGGAGGAGAACAUACAGUUUGGUUGGAAAGA